AUUGAACGCUGGCGGCAGGCCUAACACAUGCAAGUCGAACGAGUGGCGGACGGGUGAGUACUGUCUGGGAAACUGGCCGAUGGGGGGGGAUAACGACUGGAAACGGUAGCUAAUACCGCAUACCAUCGGAUGUGCCCAGAGGGGAUUAGCUAGUAGGUGGGGUAACGGCUCACCUAGGCGACGAUCCCUAGCUGGUCUGAGAGGAUGACCAGCCACACUGGAACUGAGACACGGUCCAGACUCCUACGGGAGGCAGCAGUGGGGAAUAUUGCACAAUGGGCGAAAGCCUGAUGCAGCCAUGCCGCGUGUGUGAAGAAGGCCUUCGGGUUGUAAAGCACUUUAAGCGAGGAGGCGUUACUCGCAGAAGAAGCACCGGCUAACUCCGUGCCAGCAGCCGCGGUAAUUC
rnacentral:rRNA from 1 species